GACGAACGCUGGCGGCGUGCUUAACACAUGCAAGUCGAACGCUGAAGCUCAGCUUUUGUUGGGUGGAUGAGUGGCGAACGGGUGAGUAACACGUGAGUAACCUGCCCCCUUCUUUGGGAUAACGCCCGGAAACGGGUGCUAAUACUGGAUAUUCACUGGUCUUCGCAUGGGGGUUGGUGGAAAGGGUUUUUCUGGUGGGGGAUGGGCUCGCGGCCUAUCAGCUUGUUGGUGGGGUGAUGGCCUACCAAGGCUUUGACGGGUAGCCGGCCUGAGAGGGUGACCGGUCACAUUGGGACUGAGAUACGGCCCAGACUCCUACGGGAGGCAGCAGUGGGGAAUAUUGCACAAUGGGCGCAAGCCUGAUGCAGCGACGCCGCGUGAGGGAUGGAGGCCUUCGGGUUGUGAACCUCUUUCGCUCAUGGUCAAGCCGCAACAAUGGUUGUGGUGAGGGUGGUGGGUAAAGAAGCGCCGGCUAACUACGUG
rnacentral:rRNA from 1 species